UACGUAGAGUGCGAACGUUGUCCGGAAUUAUUGGGCGUAAAGAGCUUGUAGGCGGUUUGUCGCGUCUGCUGUGAAAAUCCGGGACUCAACCCCGGACCUGCAGUGGGUACGGGCAGACUAGAGUGUGGUAGGGGAGACUGGAAUUCCUGGUGUAGCGGUGAAAUGCGCAGAUAUCAGGAGGAACACCGAUGGCGAAGGCAGGUCUCUGGGCCACUACUGACGCUGAGAAGCGAAAGCAUGGGGAGCGAACAGG
rnacentral:rRNA from 1 species